UGCAAGUUGAACGUGAUUUGCUGGGUGCUUGCACCGAGCAAUGAAAGUAGCGCACUGGUGAGUAACACGUGGGAACGUACCUUUUGGUGGGGAACAACAGUUGGAAACGACUGCUAAUACCGUAUAAGCCCUGAGGGGGAAAGAUUUAUCGCCGAAAGAACGGCCCGCGGAAGAUUAGGUAGUUGGUGGGGUAACGGCCUACCAAGCCGACGAUCUAUAGCUGGUCUGAGAGGACGAUCAGCCACAUUGGAACUGAGACACGGUCCAAACUCCUACGGGAGGCAGCAGUGAGGAAUAUUGGGCAAUGGAGGCAACUCUGACCCAGCCAUGCCGCGUGAGUGAAGAAGGUUUUCGGAUUGUAAAGCUCUUUCGGGUGUGACGAUGAUGACGGUAGCACCUAAAGAAGCCCCGGCUAACUUCGUGCCAGCAGCCGCGGUAAUACGAAGGGGGCAAGCGUUGUUCGGAAUUACUGGGCGUAAAGGGAGUGUAGGCGGUUAUGUAAGAUAGUGGUGAAAUCCCAGAGCUUAACUUUGGAAUUGCCAUUAUGACUAUGUGGCUAGAAUUACAGAGAGGAUAGUGGAAUACCCAGUGUAGAGGUGAAAUUCGUAGAUAUUGGGUAGAACACCAGUGGCGAAGGCGACUGUCUGGCUGUAUAUUGACGCUGAGGCUCGAAAGCAUGGGGAUCAAACAGGAUUAGAUACCCUGGUAGUCCAUGCUGUAAACGAUGAGUGCUUGUUGUCGGUAUUGUAUCGGUGACGAAGUUAACGCGUUAAGCACUCCGCCUGGGGAGUACGGUCGCAAGAUUAAAACUCAAAGGAAUUGACGGGGACCCGCACAAGCGGUGGAGCAUGUGGUUUAAUU
rnacentral:rRNA from 1 species